CAAAAACAUGGCUUAUUGAAAUUAUUUUAAGUCGGAUCCUGCUCGGUGUAACAAAUUAACUGCUGCGGUAAAUCGUGCAAAGGUAGCAUAAUCAAUUGGCUUUUUAUUGGGGUCUGGAAUGAAAGAUUUGAUAAUAAAAGUUUUUUAAUAAAAUUAAUUUUAUAAUUUUAGUUUUAUGUUAAAACGCUUAAAUUUUAAAAAGGGACGAGAAGACCCUAUAGAUCUUUAUAAUUUAUUCAACUCAUGAAAAAAAUUAUUUAAUUGGGGAAAUUUUUAAAUGAAACUUUUAAUUAAAAUGAUAAAACAAUAUAAGUGAUAAGUUAAGUGGAUUUUUUAAACUAAGUUAUAGUUACCUUAGGGAUAACAGCACAAUAACAAAUUGGGAGAUCAGAUCUUUAUUCGUGAUUGUGACCUCGAUGUUGAAUUAAGAUUUAUUCUUAGUGUAGAGACUAAGGGUUUUAGACUGUUCGUCUAUAAAAUCUUACGUGAUCUGAGUU
rnacentral:rRNA from 1 species